rnacentral:rRNA from 1 species
GGACGAACGCUGGCGGCGUGCCUAAUACAUGCAAGUAGAACGCUGAAGGAGGAGCUUGCUUCUCCGGAUGAGUUGCGAACGGGUGAGUAACGCGUAGGUAACCUGCCUGGUAGCGGGGGAUAACUAUUGGAAACGAUAGCUAAUACCGCAUAAGAGUAGAUGUUGCAUGACAUUUGCUUAAAAGGUGCAAUUGCAUCACUACCAGAUGGACCUGCGUUGUAUUAGCUAGUUGGUGAGGUAACGGCUCACCAAGGCGACGAUACAUAGCCGACCUGAGAGGGUGAUCGGCCACACUGGGACUGAGACACGGCCCAGACUCCUACGGGAGGCAGCAGUAGGGAAUCUUCGGCAAUGGACGGAAGUCUGACCGAGCAACGCCGCGUGAGUGAAGAAGGUUUUCGGAUCGUAAAGCUCUGUUGUAAGAGAAGAACGAGUGUGAGAGUGGAAAGUUCACACUGUGACGGUAUCUUACCAGAAAGGGACGGCUAACUACGUG